rnacentral:lncRNA from 1 species
CAGAGCCCGCCUCCGCGACUGCAGAGAGACCGUUCCAGGAGGGCGGAGCCUCGCGAUGCCGAGCCCGCCAAAAGAGGAGAGUGCCACGCCCGGGGAAAGCGUCGACGCCAUCGCUUCAGAGUGAGGGCUUGGGCUUGGCAGCAUUCUGCGGAUUCCUGGGCCCUGCCCUCUCCGCACUGCGUUUGACGGAGGCAAGCCCAGAGGACGUCUUUCGGACAGUACUCUUGCAAGCUACACUUCAGUGGAAUGUCUACUUUGUCUAUCAGUGCCCUCGCUACAGUAAAAAGAAGUUCACUGUGACCACAGAAUCAACUGACGAGGACUCACGGGAGUCUCAGAGAUCAAGGGGCCUGUAGGGGUCUGACCUAGGUUCUAUGUGCACCGGGCUUCCGGGGUGCAGUUUUACCAGCAGAGGACACAGUCAACCUGAUGACAGCUUCGCUGCUGUAUGUGUGUUUUGUCUUCAUUCUCUUGCCACCCAGUCAGUUCCUGCCUUGACUUUCCUUGAUGGGACUGUAACCUGAAACUGCUGACAGACCUUGACUCACUGGCCACCGUGGCCAGCGGCUCUACAGAGAACAGUUGAAGCUUUCUCCAUCAUCCAGUGUCCUGUCUCAGCUUUCCACUGUGUCUGCCUGGAGCAGGUCUUCCAGCGUGAGGUCCUUCACAGGGAUGGGCUGUCGGUACAACUGAUAGCAGAGCUGCUCGUUGUGAGUGACAGCUCGGGUGAUCACCAGCACUUCUUGGAACAGGAAAACAUGGAGUUUCUAGAAGAAAAGAGCCCACAGGAUUGUCCUGAGCAACCAUCUAAGUGCUCUCCAUGACAACACAGGACCCUUGAGCUGUCAAUCAGAGAAUCUUUCUGGCCUUCUUCCAGAUAAGGUCUCACUCUGGAGCGUCUAAUCUGGAAUUAAAGCAAACAGAUGUGCCAUGGUCAGAAGAUAUCAUUUUGCUGCCGGUUAACCCAUCAUCUGACUCUUCGAUCCUUUCUUUUCCUUAUAUGAUGUUCACUGACCGUCGAGUAGGUGAAAUAGACUGGAAUCUCUGGAAACAAGGAUGCUCUUCAAGCUUCCAGUCCCCAUUUUAGGCCUGGAGGGUCCAGACAGCAACUGACUGGCAUGGUCACACUUCCUCUGGAUAUGUACAGGACACAACUGCUAAAGCCUUUCCCAGACCAAACUAACCCCAUAACACUAGAGACAAAAGUAUAUUUCAGGAAAAAAAGUGAGGCUAAAUCUUCAAGCUUGAGGCUGAAACACUGUCACAAUCUGCACACAUUGCUUAAAGAGGCACCACCAUUCUACAUUACUGUGUCAUAAAAAACAGAGCAGGAGCCCUGCUAACUCUGAAGGAAGUCCACAGUCUGAGGAAGUUUAAAAACACAUUGAACCACUUCUGACUCCAGUUGACCCACUCUCUUUAGAGGAAGGUCUUUGUGGGUUGAAGAAGUUUAGAGCAAUACCAUGACUUAGAACGCAAAGUCAAAAGUUCGUGAUGAAUGAUCUCUCCUGAAAUAUUAAAGCGUGUUUCAUCUAAAUUAUUCAGCUGAGAACAUUACUUGUCCCGCAGAUAUUCUUGAGAUAUUUCCGCCUUGGUACUAAAAUUGACUUCUGAACUAAAGCCAAGUCAUAGAACCCUUCGAAGGUUCCAGAUCUUGGCAGUAACUGAGAGGCAUCAGGUCAGACACCAAUGUUAAGAAUUUUGGGCACAUUCAUGUAAUGUCAGUGAGAACCAGAAGGUUUUAGGAAGGUGAGGAACAAGUUUACCUGGAAAGAGAAUACCAGUAUAUUAAUAAUACCUAAAACCCCUCUCUAUCAGUACACUCCCUGCCCAUUGUCCUGGAAUACUAGCCCCAUCAGAGGGAUGGAGAGACCUAAUUCUGCCUAGAAGAAGUCAUUAAAGUUGUCUGCUUUCAUUACCUGCUUCAUAACAAAUAAAAAUAUCUAGAAUUGUGUAGGGCUGUGAAAGGCAGCCUGAUUCCUGGUUGACUAAGGCUAGAAACACUGGUAACCCUAAAGGGGUGGUAGAUAUUUCCCUGUUCCCAGAGAAUCAGGCUCCUGGCACAAGGCGGCAGGCCUCCACAGAUUUGUGACCAUCAGUCACAUAAGGGCAAAGCCCCAAACCCCUCUACAGGUCACAUAGCCUCAAGACAGAUCUCCAUUUUAAUGAGGUACUUAGAGGCUUAGCCAAUAAACUCUCCUUCCUAGACACUUCUCCCUGCAAAAGGUAUUUAGCCUCAGGCCUGCCCUGAGAAGUAGGGUACAGUUUUACUCAUCCACUUUCU